rnacentral:rRNA from 1 species
AAUUUUGGACAAUGGGGGAAAUCCUGACCCAGCCAUCCCGCGUGUAUGAUGAAGGCCUUCGGGUUGUAAAUUACUUUUGGCAGAGAAGAAAAGGUAUCUCCUAAUACGAGAUACUGCUGACGGUAUCUGCAUCAUAAGCACCGCCUAACUACGUGCCAGCAGCUGCGGUAAUACGUAGGGUGCAAGCGUUAAUCGGAAUUAGUGGGUGUAAAGCGUGUGUAGGCGGUUCGGAAAGAAAGAUGUGAAAUCCCAGGGCUCAACCUUGGAACUGCAUUUUUAACUGCCGAGCUAGAGUAUGUAAGAGGGGGGUAGAAUUCCACGUGUAGCAGUGAAAUGCGUAGAUAUGUGGAGGAAUACCGAUAGCGAAGGCAGCCCCCUGGGAUAAUACUGACGCUCAGACACGAAAGCGUGGGGAGCAAACAGG